rnacentral:tRNA from 1 species
GCCCCCAUGGUGAAACAGGAAGACACGCCAGCCUUGGGUGCUGGUGGUGCCUUUGCACCGUCCGGAUUCGAGCCCCGGCGGGGGCA